AGAGAAUAGAUACCCGGGUAGUCCACGUCCUAAACGAUGCAUAUUUGGUGUGGGCAGUUCAGUCUGUCCGUGCCGGAGCUAACGCGUUAAAUAUGCCGCCUGGGGAGUACAGUCGCAAGGCUGAAACUCAAAGGAAUUGACGGGGGCCCGGCACAAGCGGUGGAGCAUGUGGUUCAAUUCGACGCAACGCGAAGAACCUUACCUGGGCUCGAACGGCUGGUCAACGCCGGUGGAAACAUCGGUACCCCGCAAGGGGGUCCAGUCGAGGUGCUGCAUGGCUGUCGUCAGCUCGUGUCGUGAGAUGUUGGGUUAAGUCCCGCAACGAGCGCAACCCUUGUCCUGUGUUGCCAUCAUUCAGUUGGGAACUCGCAGGAGACCGCCAGGGAUAACCUGGAGGAAGGUGGGGAUGACGUCAAGUCCUCAUGGCCUUUAUGUCCAGGGCUACACACGUGCUACAAUGGACGGUACAAACCGCAGCAAACCCGCGAGGGGGAGCCAAUCGGAAAAAACCGUUCUCAGUUCGGAUUGCAGG
rnacentral:rRNA from 1 species